rnacentral:rRNA from 1 species
GACGAACGCUGGCGGCGUGCUUAACACAUGCAAGUCGAACGGAAAGGCCCUGCUUUUGUGGGGUGCUCGAGUGGCGAACGGGUGAGUAACACGUGAGUAACCUGCCCCUGACUUUGGGAUAACUUCAGGAAACUGGGGCUAAUACCGGAUAGGAGCUCCUGCUGCAUGGUGGGGGUUGGAAAGUUUCGGCGGUUGGGGAUGGACUCGCGGCUUAUCAGCUUGUUGGUGGGGUAGUGGCUUACCAAGGCUUUGACGGGUAGCCGGCCUGAGAGGGUGACCGGCCACAUUGGGACUGAGAUACGGCCCAGACUCCUACGGGAGGCAGCAGUGGGGAAUAUUGCACAAUGGGCGGAAGCCUGAUGCAGCAACGCCGCGUGCGGGAUGACGGCCUUCGGGUUGUAAACCGCUUUCACCUGUGACGAAGCGUGAGUGACGGUAAUGGGUAAAGAAGCACCGGCUAACUACGUG